rnacentral:rRNA from 1 species
GUCCUCCGGAUUGGGACUUCGAUUGAGGUCGGAUCAGGCACCGCGACCUUGUUCUGGUUCGACAGAUGGAAUGGCGACCUUCCCCUCGCGGCCCGCUUUCCAGGCCUAUUCUCCAUUGCGGUGGCCCCUCAGAUAUCGGUCGCGGCAGCCCUUAUUGACUUAGGACAGCUCGCGUUCCAGAGGCCCUUUGGGCCGGCUGAAACAGCCAAUUGGCAGGAGAUGCUUGACUGCAUUGCAUUGCACGCGCCUGAUCUUACGACCGAAGAUGACACAUCCAGAUGGCGUCUAGAGCCUUCUGGGCAAUUCUCCACCAAGUCCCUGUACCAGGCCAUUGCCCCCUCGCCUGGCCAUGAGGCGCUCACCCUCAUCUGGGAGAUUCGCCUUCCCCUGAAGAUUAGGAUUUUCCUGUGGCAAUGGAUCCGCGGC